rnacentral:lncRNA from 1 species
AGGGGUUUGAGCACUGGGGCACCAGUGAAGUGGGCCAUCCCCCUGUCACAUGUCCUGCGAGGAGGAUAAGGGAAUUCUCUGGUUUUAACUUAAUCUGUAAAAGACCUUGCUAAGAGGAUGAAAAAGAAGCCACAGCAAUGGAUAAAACAUUUGUAAACUACAUAUCCAACAAAGGAAUAUUAUGACUGUUUCAAGAUUUGCAGAACUGUCUAUUUAACCCAUAGACUCAUGAGCAAUAAUAAAUUAUUAUUGCUUUAACCAGU